rnacentral:tRNA from 1 species
UCGGAUAUGGUGUAAUGGUUAACAUUACCGCCUCUCAUACAAAAGCUUCGCGGUAGCUCGGGGUUCGAUUCCCCGUAUCCGAA